GACGAACGCUGGCGGCGUGCCUAAUACAUGCAAGUCGAACGCAGUGGGGACGGGUGAGUAACACGUGGGUAACCUCCCAUCAGAGGGGAUAACACUUGGAAACAGGUGCUAAACCGAUACUGAUGGAUGAACCCGCGGUGCAUUAGCUAGUUGGUGAGGUAACGGCUCACCAAGGCCACGAUGCAUAGACGAACGGAGAGGUGGAUCGGCAACACUGGGACUGAGACACGGCCCAGAAUCCUACGGGAGGCAGUAGUAGGGAAGUUGUGGCAAUGGACGAAAGUCUGACCGAGCAACGCCGCGUGAGUGAAGAAGGUUUUCGGAUCGUAAAACUCUGUUGUUAGAGAAGCGGUAUCUAACCAGAAAGCCACGGCUAACUACGUGCCAGCCGCCGCGGUAGUUC
rnacentral:rRNA from 1 species